ACGAUAAAAGGAUCGCUGCAUUCGCGUGGGAGGUAGAUCAGAAUCCCAAGGAGACUCUCAUUCAAAUGUUUCAACUUUCUCUCACACGAGAUGACCUCAGGACUCUUUGUGAUGGCAUGCAUGUCUCGACUCGGGUCAUCGACAUGUUUGCCCGGCAUAUCAACUGGGGCGGGG